rnacentral:rRNA from 1 species
UACGAAGGGGGCUAGCGUUGUUCGGAAUCACUGGGCGUAAAGCGCACGUAGGCGGAUUGUUAAGUCGGGGGUGAAAUCCUGAGGCUCAACCUCAGAACUGCCUUCGAUACUGGCAAUCUCGAGUCCGGAAGAGGUUGGUGGAACAGCUAGUGUAGAGGUGAAAUUCGUAGAUAUUAGCUAGAACACCAAUGGCGAAGGCAGCUCGCUGGGACGUUACUGACGCUGAGACGCGAAAGCGUGGGGAGCAAACAGG